UCUGGCUCAGGACGAACGCUGGCGGCGUGCCUAAUGCAUGCAAGUCGAACGCAGCGUGCUUGCACGGCUGCGUGGCGCACGGCUGAGGAACACGUGGGUGACCAACCCCGGAGUGGGGGAUACCCCGACGAAAGUCGGGACAAACCCGCAUACGAUCCGCAAGGAUGAAAGCGGCAACGCGCUUUGGGACGGGCCUGCGGCCCAUCAGGUAGUUGGGAGGGUAACGGCCUACCAAGCCAAUGACGGGUUCCUGGUCUGAGAGGACGACCAGGCAGACUGGGACUGAGACACGGCCCAGACUCCUACGGGAGGCAGCAGCAAGGAAUUUUCCCCAAUGGGCGCAAGCCUGAGGGAGCAACGCCGCGUGCAGGAUGACGGCUUUCGGGUUGUAAACUGCUUUUGGGUGGGACGAUGAUGACGGUACCACCUGAAUAAGCCCCGGCUAACUCCGUGCCAGCAGCCGCGGUAAGACGGAGGGGGCAAGCGUUGUCCGGACUUACUGGGCGUAAAGCGCACGUAGGCGGCGCGGUGCGUCGGUGCUGAAAGCGCCGGGCUUAACCCGGCGAGGCGUGCCGAUACGACCGCGCUCGAGGCAGGCAGAGGGUGGCGGAAUUCCGGGUGUAGUGGUGAAAUGCGUAGAGAUCCGGAGGAACGCCUGUGGCGCAAGCGGCCACCUGGGCCUGACCUGACGCUGAGGUGCGAAAGCGUGGGGAGCGAACCGGAUUAGAUACCCGGGUAGUCCACGCUGUAAACGAUGCCGGCUCGGUGGUUGUUCCCGUUCAGGGGAUGGCUGCCUCAGCUUACGCGGUAAGCCGGCCGCCUGGGGACUACGAG
rnacentral:rRNA from 1 species